rnacentral:rRNA from 1 species
GAUGAACGCUGGCGGCGUGCCUAACACAUGCAAGUCGAGCGAGAAGGUUAUGAUGGAUUCUUCGGAUGACAGAUUAACUGGAAAGCGGCGGACGGGUGAGUAACGCGUGAGUAACCUGCCCCAUACACAGGGAUAGCCAUUGGAAACGAUGAUUAAUACCUGAUAACACAUAGACAUCACAUGUUGUUUAUGUCAAAGAUUUAUCGGUAUGGGAUGGACUCGCGUCUGAUUAGCUAGUUGGUAAGGUAACGGCUUACCAAGGCGACGAUCAGUAGCCGACCUGAGAGGGUGAUCGGCCACACUGGAACUGAGACACGGUCCAG